GAUGAACGCUGGCGGCGUGCUUAACACAUGCAAGUCGAGCGGGCAAUUUAUCUAGCACUGAUUACUUCAAAUGGAAAUCAUAAGUGUAAUCAUGAAUUUCUACCUUCAAUAAAGAAAAAAGAAAUUCAUGUACGCAAAUAGUGAUAACACAUUUUAGUGAAGUGAUGAGUGCUGGAUAAAUUGCUAGCGGCGGACGGGUGCGUAACACGUGGGUAACCUGCCCCUAUCACUGGGAUAACACACUGAAAAGUGUGCUAAUACCAGAUAAUAUAAGCUUUUGGCAUCAUUAGCUUAUCAAAGAAUUUCGGAUAGGGAUGGGCCCGCGUCUGAUUAGCUAGUUGGUGAGGUAACGGCUCACCAAGGCAACGAUCAGUAGCCGACCUGAGAGGGUGAUCGGCCACAUUGGAACUGAGACACGGUCCAGACUCCUACGGGA
rnacentral:rRNA from 1 species